rnacentral:lncRNA from 1 species
UCCCAUCAUCGGCCUCCUUCCCAAUUCAGACAACAUAGUUUCUUCUCAAAUCCCAAAAUUGAUCAUCUACCCACCACAGCUACCUCAAAUCAACGAUCAAACGAUUGGAACUUUUUUCCUUAACAAAAAGAAAAGAUUGAAACUUUCAGAGGGCUGUAAUACAAAGGAUUAAAAGAAGAGAAUGAAGAGAAACAAAAAAAAAGAUCAAAACUUUCCCAUCA